rnacentral:rRNA from 1 species
GACGAACGCUGGCGGCGUGCUUAACACAUGCAAGUCGAACGGAAAGGCCCUGCUUUUGUGGGUUGCUCGAGUGGCGAACGGGUGAGUAACACGUGAGUAACCUGCCCCUGACUUUGGGAUAACUUCAGGAAACUGGGGCUAAUACCGGAUAGGAGCUCCUGCUGCAUGGUGGGGGUUGGAAAGAUUCGGCGGUUGGGGCUGGACUCGCGGCUUAUCAGCUUGUUUGUGGGGUAGUGGCUUACCAAGGCUUUGACGGGUAGCCGGCCUGAGAGGGUUGCCGGCCACCAUGGGACUAAGGUACGGACCAGACUCGUACGGGCGGCAGCAGUGGGGAAUCUUGCACAAUGAGCGGAAGCCUGAGACAGCAGCGCCGCGUGCGGAAUGACGGCCUUCGAGUUGUGAACCGCUUUCGCCUGUGACGAAGCGUGAGUGACGGUAAUGGAUAAAGAAGCACCGGCUAACUACGUG